GUGGGGAAUCUUCCGCAAUGGACGAAAGUCUGAUGGAGCGACGCCGCGUGAGUGAAGAAGGCCUUCGGGUCGUAAAGCUCUGUCAUCAGGGACGAAUGGCCGGUGGAGUGGAAAGCCACCGGAUUGACGGUACCUGAGAAGGAAGCCACGGCUAACUACGUGCCAGCAGCCGCGGUAAUACGUAGGUGGCAAGCGUUGUCCGGAAUUAUUGGGCGUAAAGCGCGCGCAGGUGGGAUCUUAAGUCCAUUUUGAAAGUUCGGAGCUCAACUCCGUGAUGGGAUGGAAACUGGGAUUCUUGAGUACCGGAGAGGAAAGCGGAAUUCCCCGUGUAGCGGUGAAAUGCGUAGAUAUGGGGAGGAACACCAGUGGCGAAGGCGGCUUUCUGGACGGUGUCUGACACUGAGGCGCGAAAGCCAGGGGAGCGAACGGGAUUAGAAACCCUAGUAGUCC
rnacentral:rRNA from 1 species